rnacentral:tRNA from 1 species
CAAAUUAGAGCUUGAAAAAAGUAUUUCAUUUACAUUGAAAAGAUAUUAUAAACAAUAAUUAAUUUGA